rnacentral:rRNA from 2 species
GAGGUUGUGCCCUUGAGGCGUGGCUUCCGGAGCUAACGCGUUAAGUCGACCGCCUGGGGAGUACGGCCGCAAGGUUAAAACUCAAAUGAAUUGACGGGGGCCCGCACAAGCGGUGGAGCAUGUGGUUUAAUUCGAUGCAACGCGAAGAACCUUACCUGGUCUUGACAUCCACGGAAGUUUUCAGAGAUGAGAAUGUGCCUUCGGGAACCGUGAGACAGGUGCUGCAUGGCUGUCGUCAGCUCGUGUUGUGAAAUGUUGGGUUAAGUCCCGCAACGAGCGCAACCCUUAUCCUUUGUUGCCAGCGGUCCGGCCGGGAACUCAAAGGAGACUGCCAGUGAUAAACUGGAGGAAGGUGGGGAUGACGUCAAGUCAUCAUGGCCCUUACGACCAGGGCUACACACGUGCUACAAUGGCGCAUACAAAGAGAAGCGACCUCGCGAGAGCAAGCGGACCUCAUAAAGUGCGUCGUAGUCCGGAUUGGAGUCUGCAACUCGACUCCAUGAAGUCGGAAUCGCUAGUAAUCGUGGAUCAGAAUGCCACGGUGAAUACGUUCCCGGGCCUUGUACACACCGCCCGUCACACCAUGGGAGUGGGUUGCAAAAGAAGUAGGUAGCUUAACCUUCGGGAGGGCGCUUACCACUUUGUGAUUCAUGACUGGGGUGAAGUCGUAACAAGGUAACCGUAGGGGAACCUGCGGUUGGAUCACCUCCUUACCUUAAAGAAGC